rnacentral:rRNA from 1 species
GUAGGUGGCAAGCGUUGUCCGGAAUUAUUGGGCGUAAAGCGCGCGCAGGUGGUUCUUUAAGUCUGAUGUGAAAGACCCCCCCGGGCUCAACCCGGGGGAGGGUCAUUGGAAACUGGGGAACUUGAGUGCAGGAGAGGAAAGUGGAAUUCCACGUGUAGCGGUGAAAUGCGUAGAUAUGUGGAGGAACACCAGUGGCGAAGGCGACUUUCUGGCCUGUAACUGACACUGAGGCGCGAGAGCGUGGGGAGCAAACAGGAUUAGAUACCCUGGUAGUCCACGCCGUAAACGAUGAGUGCUAAGUGUUCGGGGGGGUUUCCGCCCCUCAGUGCUGCAGCUAACGCAUUAAGCACUCCGCCUGGGGAGUACGGUCGCAAAGACUG